rnacentral:rRNA from 1 species
GAUGAACGCUGGCGGCGUGCUUAACACAUGCAAGUCGAACGGGAAACAUUUUUAUUGAAGCUUCGGCAGAUUUAGUUUGUUUCUAGUGGCGGACGGGUGAGUAACGCGUGGGUAACCUGCCUCACACUGGGGGAUAACAGUCAGAAAUGACUGCUAAUACCGCAUAAGCGCACGGAACCGCAUGGUUCUGUGUGAAAAACUCCGGUGGUAUAAGAUGGACCCGCGUUGGAUUAGCUUGUUGGUGAGGUAACGGCUCACCAAGGCGACGAUCCAUAGCCGGCCUGAGAGGGUGAACGGCCACAUUGGGACUGAGACACGGCCCAGACUCCUACGGGAGGCAGCAGCGGGGAAUAUUGCACAAUGGGGGAAACCCUGAUGCAGCGACGCCGCGUGAAGGAAGAAAGUAUCUCGGUAUGUAAACUUCUAUCAGCAGGGAAGAUAGUGACGGUACCUGACUAAGAACGCCCCGGACUAAC